rnacentral:rRNA from 1 species
GACGGGGGGUCCUAGCGUUGUUCGGAAUCAUUGGGCGUAAAGCGUGUGCAGGUGGCUUUGUAAGUUAGAUGUGAAAGCCCCGGGCUUAACCCGGGAAGUGCAUUUAAAACUGCAAAACUUGAGUAUGGAAGAGGGUCGUGGAAUUCCAGGUGUAGUGGUGAAAUACGUAGAUAUCUGGAGGAACACCGGCGGCGAAGGCGGCGACCUGGUUCUAUACUGACACUCAUACACGAAAGCGUGGGGAUCAAACAGG